CACAGGUCUUCCCUCCCAGGGUGGCCUAAGCCUUGUGAUACCCAGGAACCCAAAGUAGUCUCUCCUUUUGUUAGUGUGUUCCUUGGUGCUGUGUGAAGGUGACUAAUGCGUGACUAUGCUUCUCCUCUGAAACCCUAAGGUUGGCACAUCAAAUGAAGCCCCUGUUCAUCCCCACAACAUCACCCCAAUUUACCACUGUGUCUCUGCCCUCACCUGGUUCAGGUUCUCAAAGGGUGUGGGCGCUAAACUAACAAGGGGCAGCCUGCCCAGAGUACCGGCAACAAGGAAGUCUCCCGCAGAUCGGGGUGGUCAGGCGGAUGAUGCCCACCCACGAGGAAGCUGGAAGGUUCAUUAUAAGAAAGGAGAGCGCACCAACCUGGCUGUGUGUGGGAAGCACCCUGCAGCAAACCGGGGCCCAGUUUCACUCUGUCAAGGAGAAAGUGUCUCCUAUUCACCACAUCCUCCGAAGACUCCUCAGUCCUCUCCCUGAUGACAGGACAGGUCAUGAAUCGCUCACCAUGUAUGACGGUGCUAUCUGUACACUGCUCUCAAGCUCACCGACCUUCACGGUGUCCCCACACUCGCCUGCUCUCAAGCCCACUGACCUUCAGAAUGUCCCCCACAGUCACCUCCACUCAAGCCCAGUGACCUGUAGAGUGUCUUAGGACAAGUGGCUGUCAUGUUUGCUUUCCUCUGAGUUCAGCGAAACUGUUGAGGUCCUUACAGAAGCCAAGUGGCACACCAUCCCCCUCCUGUCCCAGUGCCUCCCCCAAUCAAAUUCCAGAAGUUUCCUCUUCAAAUAAGCACUGAGCAGAA